rnacentral:ncRNA from 1 species
AUCUGGAGAGAGGCGCGCUGCGCCCACCGAAGGGGAUUUCCCGCCAGGACGCCACACAAGGGCGGCCGGGCAGGAUCGAAACUCUCAGGUACAUGGACAGAU